GAUGAACGCUGGCGGCGUGCCUAAUACAUGCAAGUCGAGCGAACAGACGAGGAGCUUGCUCCUCUGACGUUAGCGGCGGACGGGUGAGUAACACGUGGAUAACCUACCUAUAAGACUGGGAUAACUUCGGGAAACCGGAGCUAAUACCGGAUAAUAUAUUGAACCGCAUGGUUCAAUAGUGAAAGACGGUUUUGCUGUCACUUAUAGAUGGAUCCGCUCCGCAUUAGCUAUUUGGUAAGGUAACGGCUUACCAAGGCAACGAUGCGAAGCCGACCUGACAGCGUGAAUGACCACACGGGAACUGAGAAACGGCCGAGACACCUGAGGGGGGCAGCGGUCGGGAAUCUUCCGGAAGGGGGGAAAGCCUAACGGAGCAACGCGGCGGGAGUGAUGAAGGUCUUCGGAUGGUAAAACUCUGAUAGUAGGGAAGACGAAAUGUGUAAGUAACUAUGCACAUCUUGACGGUACCUAAUCAGAAAGCAACGGCUAACUACGUG
rnacentral:rRNA from 1 species